rnacentral:rRNA from 1 species
CCUACGGGUGGCAGCAGUGGGGGAUAUUGCACAAUGGGGGGAACCCUGAUGCCGCGACGCCGCGUGGGUGAAGAAGCGCCUCGGCGCGUAAAGCCCUGUCAGCAGGGAAGAAAAUGACGGUACCUGACUAAGAAGCCCCGGCUAACUACGUGCCAGUAGCCGCGGUAAUACGUAGGGGGCAAGCGUUAUCCGGAUUUACUGGGUGUAAAGGGGGCGCAGACGGCGAUGCAAGCCAGGUGUGAAAGGCCGGGGCCCAACCCCGGGACUGCAUUUGGAACUGCGUGGCUGGAGUGCAGGAGGGGUAGGUGGAAUUCCUGGUGUAGCGGUGAAAUGCGUAGAGAUCAGGAGGAACACCAGUGGCGAAGGCGGCUUGCUGGACUGCAACUGACGUUGAGGCCCGAAAGCGUGGGGAGCAAACAGGAUUAGAUACCCCAGUAGUC